CAUUAGCUCCGGGGCAGGAGCGGCGUGCAGUGUGGGUGGGCAAUCGUUAAGCGGAAUUCGUGGGCGUAAAGCUGUUGCAGGCAGCAUAGUAAGUCAGAUGGGAAAUCCCUAGGCUCAACCGAGGAACUGCAUUUGAAACUAAUAAACUAGGGUAUCGUAGAGGGAGGUAGGAUUCCAGGUGUAGCGGUGAAAUGCGUAGAUAUCUGGAGGAAUACCAGUGGCGAAGGCGACCUCCUGGACGAAAACUGACGCUCAAGCACGAAAGCAUGGGGAGCAAACAGGAUUAGAUACCCCAGUAGUC
rnacentral:rRNA from 1 species